rnacentral:rRNA from 1 species
UACGGGGGGAGCAAGCGUUGUUCGGAUUUACUGGGCGUAAAGGGCGCGUAGGCGGUCAGCACAAGUCAGUUGUGAAAUCUCCGGGCUUAACUCGGAAAGGUCAACUGAUACUGUGCGACUAGAGUGCAGAAGGGGCAACUGGAAUUCUCGGUGUAGCGGUGAAAUGCGUAGAGAUGUGGAGGAACACCGAUGGCGAAGGCAGCCUCCUGGGCCAGUACUGACGCUCAUGCACGAAAGCGUGGGGAGCAAACAGG